AUUGAACGCUGGCGGCAUGCUUUACACAUGCAAGUCGAACGGCAGCGCGGGCUUCGGCCUGGCGGCGAGUGGCGAACGGGUGAGUAAUGCAUCGGAACGUGCCCAGUAGUGGGGGAUAGCCCGGCGAAAGCCGGAUUAAUACCGCAUACGACCUGAGGGUGAAAGCGGGGGACCGAAAGGCCUCGCGCUAUUGGAGCGGCCGAUGUCGGAUUAUCUAGUUGGUGGGGUAAAGGCUUACCAAGGCGACGAUCCGUAGCUGGUCUGAGAGGACGACCAGCCACACUGGAACUGAGACACGGCCCAGACUCCUACGGGAGGCAGCAGUGGGGAAUAUUGGACAAUGGGGGCAACCCUGAUCCAGCCAUGCCGCGUGGGGGAAGAAGGCCUUCGGGUUGUAAACCGCUUUUGUUCGGGAAGAAAUACUCUGGGCUAAUACCCCGGGGGGAUGACGGUACCGGAAGAAUAAGCACCGGCUAACUACGUG
rnacentral:rRNA from 1 species